GGCAACAGCUCAAUUUGAAAUCUGGCUCUCGGGCCCGAGUUGUAAUUUGUAGAGGAUACUUUUGAUGCGGUGCCUUCCGAGUUCCCUGGAACGGGACGCCAUAGAGGGUGAGAGCCCCGUCUGGUUGGAUGCCAAAUCUCUGUAAAGUUCCUUCAACGAGUCGAGUAGUUUGGGAAUGCUGCUCUAAAUGGGAGGUAUAUGUCUUCUAAAGCUAAAUACCGGCCAGAGACCGAUAGCGCACAAGUAGAGUGAUCGAAAGAUGAAAAGCACUUUGAAAAGAGAGUUAAAAAGUACGUGAAAUUGUUGAAAGGGAAGCGUUUAUGACCAGACUUGGGCUUGGUUAAUCAUCUGGGGUUCUCCCCAGUGCACUUUUCCAGUCCAGGCCAGCAUCAGUUUUCCCCGGGGGAUAAAGGCGGCGGGAAUGUGGCUCUCUUCGGGGAGUGUUAUAGCCCACCGUGUAAUACCCUGGGGGGGACUGANGUUCGCGCAUCUGCNAGGAUGCUGGCGUAAUGGUCAUCAACGACCCGUCUU
rnacentral:rRNA from 1 species